CCGGACCGCCGAGCUGGACGGUCGCAAGACAGACCAGCUCCAGCAAAAACUAAACCAUUCAGCCACAAAACUACGACUUUUACCAAAAAUACCGUCCAGCAACGGCGGCCCUCGACGGGCAGAGUGCACUGAACCCAGGGUGAGGCUUGCUCGACGAGUAUUAGUCCCCUGGUGAAGAAAUCUUCAAUGUUGAAGUUGAGGCCUACUCCAGCGGUGAGUGGAGCGGACGGCCGCCGCCCCGCUAUCCUGCUGAACAGGGUCCAGCCUGGGACUUAAACCCUCGAGGAACCGGCUCCGUUCCCCCCCCUGUGGACCGGCGGGGGUGAUCCCGGUCCUCACCCUGAAGUCCCGACCACUACGACUGAGACUAAGGCCUAGCAACACUACCAGUUGCAGACUCUAAGAUGGCGGAGACCGCGCGCCUAACCCCAAG